UGAGUUCUGAGCUUUGGAAAGCUGAAAGAUUGCCCUACUUUUUCAACUCAAUUUUUUACAGUUUUGGUAUUCAAACUGCAUUGGUGAGUUUAAGUAUCAGACUUUUAGUAUUUCAUUUUCUAGCUUUAUUUCCAUACAUCUUCUAACUUUUUCCUCUCUUUUUCCUAUUUUUUUUAUAGUACAGAUUGAUUUUAAUGCGAAUCCUUUUGUAGCCACCAAGAGCUAGAAGAUGUUAGCAUCUUACCGCCCAAAGAUUUAACUUUUGAAGGGUUUGAUAUGACUAGCAAUGUCCCUCUGCAAUGUCUACUAAUCGAGGAUAUGAAUAUACGACCUUUGCCCUCACACGGGCUGAGGGAUCGAAGUUUCUUAUUGCUGCUCCUCAAUUCAAGUAUCUUAACCUUUGGAUAUCAUGAUUCCUUCUUCACCUGUUCGCGUCAGGGAUCCUUCCAAAGGGAGAAAAAUGUCAUGUUGCUCUGAGCAAAUUCCAAAAUUUCUUAUUCUCUUUGGGCAUAUACUCCAAAUUUCGUGUCUCUAUUCAUUCCUUGCCUAUAUGAAAAAUUAGAUUCAGGGGGUCUAUCUUUGUUUUCUCAUUUUGUUUCUUGGACUGCUAAAUUUGCUUUUACUUACUUUAAUCAAUUUUGGAAAUUACCAAAGGAGCUUUCUUCAGCAUAAAGGGAAAAAAUGAUUGAUGCUCAUCCGAUGCAAGCUGUGGUCUAUACCAUGUCCA
rnacentral:lncRNA from 1 species